AAUUCACCCAAAAGAGUAGCCUCACCACACACACCCUGACACACAGUGGUGUUAGAAAUUAUGAGUGUCUGGAAUGUGGAAAGAAAUUCUACACAAAGAGUGAACUCACCAAACACACCCUGACACAUGGCGGCAUCAGGAAUCAUGAGUGUGAGGAGUGUGGCAAGAAAUUCUUAACCAUUGGUGCUCUCAACAAACAUGCCUUCAGACACACUGGCUUGAGGGAGUUCAAGUGUGAUGUUUGUGGCAAGUGUUUCAAGACUAAGAGUGACAUUGCCCGGCAUGUGAAGAUCCACUUUUGAGGUGGUGUGUUGUGUGGACCGGUGGGGCCACACCCGUGCCUGUGGGAGUGUGUGGUGGUGGUGGUGGUGGUUUUUCUCUUUUCUUUCUUCUCUCGCAUUACCUCACCCCGACCUUGGCCUGACCUUCCAGCCUUUGGUCCUCGGCACAGCCAGGUGAAGCAUGCCUUCAGUGGGAACCGGUCUCCCGAGGGUGUCACCAAGGCUCUCCAUCUCCAGCAGGACGUGGCGGGGGUCAAGAUGGCAGGCAAGCAAGACGUUGGUGUGUGUUGGAUGCCUGCGUGACUCCAUGCUACGCUGGCCUGCCACACCACAGGAUACAUUGAUGAUAGUGUCACCUCAGCACACACUACACUGUUGUCAUGUGUGGCAGUGCCUGUAAGGACACCACACCCCUCCACCAAUACCACUGCUGUGUGUGGGUAUGUCUAUAUAUAGCAUCCCAUCCCAUCCCCUAUAUACCUGCCCUAUUUACACCUGCUGCUGUUUAUCCCCCAUAUACCUACACCAAGUCAAUAAUACCUCAAAGAGAAAGACCACAACAAAAUGACUCCAGAAAAUUGAUUAAAGAACAAAAGCUAGACUGAAGAAUGCAAAGUUUGUGUGAGUCUCCACUCUUAAACGGCUCACACCACCAGUGCCACCAAGUCUGUGUCCACCAGGCCCUGGGGGGAGGAGGAGGAGGAGGAGAAGUCUUUCCAAUAUUGUAAGUCUCUCUCUCUCUCUCUCUCUCUCUCUCUCUCUCUCUCUCUCUCUCUCUCUCUCUCUCUCUCUCAGUAAUGAUAAUGUAUGUGAUGUAUCAUUGUAUGUACAUUAAAAAAUAAAUCCACACAAAUUUUAGACAAAAAAAAAA